AAAAAGACGCUGAACGGAAAGAGUAGCAGGCUAUGGAACUGAAAGAGAGAAACUGUCACCGGCUGAAAGCAGUUUUAAGGGAAGUAUCUGUGAAGUGCAUCCGGGAGUCGAUUUGGCGAACGCGUGCGGCAAGUAGCCAGGUACGGGAUUACACACGUUACGUGUACCAAGGUGGAGGAUGUUUUUGUGCACGAAUGUCCUCUAUAAGAGUGGAACCGCGGAUAUACUCCGUCUCUUGC
rnacentral:ncRNA from 1 species